GGGUGCUCCAGACCACUCUGCUGAAUACAUCACAAAUCUCCAAUCCUUCUGACAUACUAAAGCUCACCAACUAUGACAUUUUUUGUGUGUUUUCCAUUCAGACGGAAACAGAUAAUGAUCUUAAUCAUGACACGUGUUUUAUUCAUUUAUUUAUUUAUUUUUAUUUUAGUCUAAAGGCAUGAGAUCUUUUAGCAAAGAGGAAUCCUUUAAUCUGGUCACAGGGGAACCGUCCAGGGUGGCUUUGUUGUCAAGGCGCGCUUCAAAACAACUGUCUAGCAGCUGCUAGCAGACCCACAAGUCUGUUCGCACAGAGCGGUUUAAAAAAGCCGCAGGAAAUAAGGCAUCUCAAGUAUACGUGAGAGAAAAGAAAACGUACGUCUCUUACAUCAUGUCAGCAUUAAUUAAAAUUUUAUCUUUCAAACAUAAAUAUAGAACAAAGGGCUAUUUUUUGCUCCUUUCUCAAACUGAAAUAUUUCAGAUCUUUCAGACAAAAAUGAGCAGAAUAAAUACAUUACGGUGCUUUCAAAGGAUGAUUUUGGUUAAAAAAUAUGUGAAAAAGUUAUACCGUCAUGUUAAAUCCUUUAUUAAAGCUGAGUUCAAUUUCAACAGCCCCUCCUAAACCAGGAUUAUUACCUCAGUCCCAGUCCUAGCUUGCCAAACGCUGGGCACCCACCCCCCUUUAGUAGCUACUAAAGCUACCAACAGCAACUUUGUAGGGUAAGAUUUUCACUGCAGGUCACGUAAAUGUCACGUGACGAAAUGUCGGCAACCUGUCAUGCACCCUCAGCGUCAAUAUAUGACGAGAGCGGUACCCCGUCACAUCAGUAUCUGACGCGUGGGGGCGGGGGGUGUUGCCCAAGCGUCAAUAUUUGACGGGUUGGAAGUGAGACUGUGUUAACCUAACCCCUAGAAUCAAGAUGUCACUUAAAGAGAACCUGUCUGACAACAUCAAGUAGGCCAAAAGACCUCCAAAAGUAAGACGCCAUGGUCCGAUCCAAAGGAAUUCAAGAAUAGAUGAUACAAAGGAAGAGAAAAAGAUGAGGCAAAAACAUUAAAAUGGAGAAAAGGUGACAAGAAUAGAUCAGAGGAAAAAGGGAGCACAAGAUAACAUCCUCCAAGUCUUCUCCUACACCUGCACAACGAGAUAGUGAACGAACAGCAAAACCAACCAAAAGGUUUCACAGGUACAAACAACCAACGCCUUUGAUAACAUCACUGAAAAAUAUGAAGUCACAGCAUUUUUAAGUCUUUGGGAAUCCCUGGAACCACAAUGAGAGCCAUUAGCCACCAACAAAAAAUACGGACCAGCAUGGAAGCUUCCCAGCAGAGCCAAGCCGACCAAAAUUACUCCAAGAGCACAUGCCCGCGCUUACUUAGACUGUGUCACCACAAUAAUAAAAACACACCAUCAACUGAGUGUCUAAAGGGAAAAAUCCAAAUUAAGGUUUCAAAGUGGCCUAAAACCAAAUUGAGACGUUGUCAUGACUUUAUACCGGGCCGUUCACGCUCAACAACCUUCUAAUGAGGCUGAAUUUAAACUAUUCUGGAAGGAAGACUGGGCCAAAUUUAUUCCACUGCGAUGUGAAAGAGUCAUUGGCAGUUGUUGCAAAUGCUUUAACUGCCAUUGUUGCCGCCAAGGAUGGUACAUCCUGUUAUUAUGUGUGGAGUGUGACUACUUUUUCAUAUAGGGCCGGGCUGUUAGGUUAGCCGAUUGCUCCUAAGAAAUGGAAUCACCAUCUGAGAACUGCUUCUUCUACCUAAUCAGACUUUCAGAGGACAAUCUGAGUCCAACCAGAGCCAAAGACGUGACUGGAACACAAGGUUAUUGGUCGAGAAAGAAAAGGAACAGGACUCGAUCCCGCACCAUGGGAGAUCGGGCCUUUUCCUGUGCCGCCCCACGGCUGUGGAACAACCUGCCUCCACAUCUGAGGGUUCUUCAGACCCUGUCACAUUUUAAAACAGUCCAUAAAACCUUCCUUUUUAU